AACAUGGUAGCACAGUUGGUAGAGCAGGAGGUUCUUAAUCUCAUGGUCAUGCGGUUCUAGCCCCAUGCUGAGUGA